CGGGGCUUAUCAGUGGCGUAUGAAAUGUUCCGGAGCAUAUCAACGGCAUAUGGAACAUUUCGGAGCAUAUCAAUAACAAAUACCAAACAGAAGCUCAAACGUCGUCUUUGACAUUGCAUUCAUAUCAUUCUUAUCCAAAGCAUGUACAUAAACACAUAACCAAAGCUCUGGAUUUCAUAUCAAACAUACAGAAGGUGUAGUGGGACCACUGACAGAAUGUGAUUCAUCCAUUUCUGAAUGACCACCAGACAGAAGUCUCCCACGUUUGGGAGCUCCAUCCACCCACGUCUAGGUGAAGUCAGAGGGGGCCGGCAGAGCAUCGCAGGCUCUAUGCAUAACUCCCUUUACCAUUUCUGGCAAAGGUUCAUAUUAUCCCACAACACCAGAGUACAAAAGGCAGUAUGAACAAUAAAUAACAUAUAUCAGAAGCACACGUGGAACAACAAAAUGUACAUGUGCCUUUAUGAGUCAAUACGAUGCAAGCAACAAUUUCUCACAAAUGUAUUCAGAUUGGAAUAAAAUGAAAGCAAAAGUAUAAACGGAUUCCAAGCAAUCAUAUAUAGCUCAAUUCAAAUAAGAAGGUUAGAUGAAUUCAAUAUCCAAAAGAAUGAAACUAGAAUAGGCACAUAUCGAAAGCAAAUGCGGAACAAUGGGAUAUACAUGUGCCUAUAUGUGUCAAUGCGAUAUAGCUUGAAAGUUACACAAAAUGUUUCAAGAAUGUAAAUAAUUUAUAGACAAGAUCAAACUAGAAUUCAAGCACCAACAUAAGUCUCAAUUGAGUGAAGGGGACUGAAUGGAAUCUAUUUCCAAACAAAUGAAACAGAAUGCGCGAAAUCGACCAAAGCUCGAUUUCUGACAGAAUUCAAGAGGCACAUUGAACAAAUACUUCAGAUUAUCAAUUAUGCUCCAAUACCCUUAGGAAAGCUACUUUUGAAAGAUAUAUCAAUCUAUUUUCUGUUGAAAUAAGUUUCGUAUGAAUCAUGGUUUCCAACAAGGAGUUACAUUUGAUUUGGUAAAACAAGGUCAAAAACAAAAUCACUGUUUUGCAGAAUUCAUAGGGUCGGAUUCAACAGAUAAUAGGAUAGGCAUUUGAACUCCAAAUUUUUCAAUCAAUAUGUCAAAAGAAAGGUCUACAAGUCUACUUUCGGACGAAGUCAGUUUGGUACAAAUCAGAAUUUCCAACAGGGACUUAUAGGUAUU
rnacentral:lncRNA from 1 species